UGUUUAUUUUUGAAAACAAAACUAGCACACAGGCUGGUCCCGGUUAGGUCCAAUAGGCCAGAUAAGCGCCGUCGCUAAUCCGGAACUAAGAAUCGCGGUCCAGUUGUACGGGACGCUUCAAGUUGCCGUACACCUCAGGUGGUAUGGGAACCAUGUGUAACGGUACGGAGAUAAGGGUCGCUCGGGAGGUGCCUGGGAACUCUUCACAUCCAAGGAGGCAGCGGGGGAAAAAUACCCCCUUUCAGGCCGAGGGGGUAUGACGGAAAAAUCAAGGGCGAUCGCUUUGCGAGCCCCGUCUGAAUAGGGGCACUAUAAACCCUCUAUGACGGAGCCUAUGAGAGAGCAAAUCUGUGGCCCCCAACCCGCCGGGAUUACCAGAUCUCUAAAAGUGCUUAGCCAUAGUGGUGCGGAUAAAAGAUCUUAGUUGGAUCUCUGUAACGUGAGAUGGGGUGCUCAUUGAGCGAUGUAUUUUUCUCGUAGCUCUCUUUUGUGGGUUCUUGGCAGUGUUCCUCACGGAGUCGGGUGGUGGCUGGCGAGUUUACUUUGAGAUAAUUAGAGUGCUCAAUACAGGCGUUUCGCUUGAAUAGUCUAGCAUGGAAUAAUGGAAUAGGAUUUCGGUUCUAUUUUAUUGGUUUUAUGGAUUGAAGUAAUGAUUAGUAGGAAUAAACGGGGGCAUUCGUAUUGUUACGUUAGAGGUGAAAUUCUGGGACCGUAGCGAGACGCAUCGACUGCGAAAGCAUUGCCAAGAAGUUUUCCAUUAUCAAGGAAGGGAAAGAUC
rnacentral:rRNA from 1 species